rnacentral:rRNA from 1 species
ACUCCUACGGGAGGCAGCAGUCGAGAAUCUUCCGCAAUGGGCGCAAGCCUGACGGAGCGACGCCGCGUGGAGGACGAAGGCCUUUGGGUUGUAAACUCCUGUCACGGGUUAUGAAUCCCGGCGCGUUAACAGCGCGACGGUUGACGUAUGCCCGAGAGGAAGCACCGGCUAACUCUGUGCCAGCAGCCGCGGUAAUACAGAGGGUGCAAACGUUGUUCGGAAUCACUGGGCAUAAAGCGCACGUAGGCUGUCCCGUAAGUGUGGAGUGAAAUCCCACGGCUUAACCGUGGAACUGCUUGGCAUACUGCGGGACUCGAGGACGGUAGGGGAGAGCGGAACUCCU